UACGUAGGGUGCAAGCGUUAAUCGGAAUUACUGGGCGUAAAGCGUGCGCAGGCGGUUUUGUAAGUCAGGUGUGAAAUCCCAGGGCUCAACCCUGGAAGUGCACUUGAUACUGCAAGUCUUGAGUGUGGUAGAGGCUAUUAGAAUUCCUGGUGUAGUGGUGAAAUACGUAGAUAUCAGGAGGAAUACCGGAGGCGAAGGCGGAUAGCUGGGCCAACACUGACGCUGAGACCCGAAAGCGUGGGGAUCAAACAGG
rnacentral:rRNA from 1 species